rnacentral:rRNA from 1 species
GACGAACGCUGGCGGCGUGCUUAACACAUGCAAGUCGAACGGAAAGGCCCUGCUUUUGUGGGGUGCUCGAGUGGCGAACGGGUGAGUAACACGUGAGUAACCUGCCCUUGACUUUGGGAUAACUUCAGGAAACUGGGGCUAAUACCGGAUAGGAGCUCCUGCUGCAUGGUGGGGGUUGGAAAGUUUCGGCGGUUGGGGAUGGACUCGCGGCUUAUCAGCUUGUUGGUGGGGUAGUGGCUUACCAAGGCUUUGACGGGUAGCCGGCCUGAGAGGGUGACCGGCCACAUUGGGACUGAGAUACGGCCCAGACUCCUACGGGAGGCAGCAGUGGGGAAUAUUGCACAAUGGGCGGAAGCCUGAUGCAGCAACGCCGCGUGCGGGGUGACGGCCUUCGGGUUGUAAACCGCUUUCGCCUGUGACGAAGCGUGAGUGACGGUAAUGGGUAAAGAAGCACCGGCUAACUACGUC